CCAUUCCUGUUCAAUUUUUUAAAUCUCAGAGCCUCUGAGGCCUGAACUUUCACUAUAUACCAGAAGAGAAUGCCUCUCUUGAACAGACUUUCACACUAACUGUUAUUUUUCUGUUUUCUCAGUGUCCUAGUAUUACUCAUCCACGGUUUGUCCCAUUAGGGACUGACUUACACUUACCCAGUCUGCUCACCCGUCAAGUUUCUUGGGCUACUUGUAGGAGCCACAGCUCACAUCAGUGUUCCCUCAGACAGAGGUCUUGACCAUCUAUGAGUCUCCAGAGCAGUGAAUACCGGCUCGUCACAAAGCAAGCAACACGUGCUGGCUUACAAUGUUGGAAACUUCAUCUUCAACACAGUAUCACGGAAAGGUGGAAGUCAGUUUUCCAAGCCAGUUUUCCAAGCACAGCAAGGUUGUAAUCAGAGAGACAAAGCAAAAUAAUUGCUUCCUCUGUACAGGACACAUUCUUGAACUUGCCAAAAUUGAAAGUAGGUGAGGGAAGGGCGACAAGCAGGAAAUGGUUUUUUUCUCUUUAACUUCCUCAAAAAUAAACUGUGUUAAAGAACCACGCCUGCCGUUACACGGCUUUCAUCCUUCAAUCACAGCAUCCCAACACUGGUGAGCUCCACAGGUGUACAUUACACGUUUGUGCUCCAGGCGCUUUCCUUUAAAAAGGCAUGUGGGCAUUAAGGCUCGGAAUUUUCUGUUUUCCCUGAUGUUCUAGUACCUUCUGCAUAAAAUGUACAUCAAGGAAAGCCUCCCCACCGCCUGAUGAAGAUCACUUAACUGUUCUGGCACCUGGUUUCCUCAGAUAAAUUAUAACUGAAACUCCUGGAAAUUUGGCGACGGAAUCCCAAAGUUGCGCGGAGGACUACUACAUUUUCUCCGUUAGUCUGUAAAUGUAGUCCGGUAGGGACCCACGCUUCCACUUACUUACUCGGCGAGUACCAAACCCUGAGGCAACGUCCCUCCGCGGCCCCGACUCGCCCGCGCCGCCGCCCACCACUCCUGCUUUGCCCGCCGCCCGCUCGGACAGCGGGUGGAGACACGUCCUUUCGCCCUUCGCCGUUGUCUUGCCGGCCGCGUCGGAGCCCCAACGACUCCGCGGACACAUCUGAGUCAACCCCGCCGCAACCGCCCGGCUCGCGCGGCGCUCCGAGGCCUCCGGAGGCCGGCACUCAGGCGCGCGGCGCGCAAGAAACCUCCGUCCCGGCCAACUGUCGCUCGCGCAGGGUUCUCGCCCGGCCCCAACGUACCUAGAGCGGCGCCGCGCCAGCCGCUUCUCUCCCCACAACCGCCGACAACCGCCGACAACCGCUGCCGCCGAGCACAAUAACGCUUCCGCGCGAACCAGCUGAGAAUUAGCAUUGCAACCAGAGCAGUACCCAUCAUGCACUGACACCAUGACAGAUCCGAGCAAGACCAACUAAGGACAAAAACUCCUCCUCCCCUUGGGAAGGUGGAGCUGGGACAAAACCUAGGAAAUUACCCCCCAAACCCUCCUCAGUGAAUAUUCUGCCCAGUCAUUUUCACACCCCAUAUAACCAGCUUGCCAGA